GCCCGCCCGGCUCCUCACGCCAGGCCCCCCAGGGCUUCGUCCACCUCUCACCUUUGACGACGCGGGGCUGAAGACCGUCAUGCACCGCGCCGGCGGGGGCGGGGGCAGAGGCGGGGCAGGCUUCAGGGACUCCUGCAAAAUUACUGAGGGACCUGUGCCCAGGUGGCUUACAGAUACAGAUACCUAAGGUGAUAAACAUUCGUGGGGUUGAGAGACAAGAACCGCUGCUCCGUCAAUAAUGAGUGACUGGAUGGAUAUGGAGAGAUGGCUUAGCGGUUAAGGCGUUUGACUGCAAAGCCAAAGGACCCAGGUUCAAUUCCCCAGGACCCAUGUAAGCCUGAUGUACAGGGUAGUG